GUGCCAGCCGCCGCGGUAAGACAGAGGGUGCAAACGUUGCUCGGAAUUACUGGGCGUAAAGCGCGUGUAGGCUGACCGGAAAGUCGGGCGUGAAAGCCCUGGGCUCAACCCAGGAACUGCACUCGAAACUCCCGGUCUAGAGUGGUGGAGAGGGAAGUGGAAUUCCUGGUGUAGAGGUGAAAUUCGUAGAUAUCAGGAGGAACACCAGUGGCGAAGGCGGCUUCCUGGACACCAACUGACGCUGAGACGCGAAAGCGUGGGGAGCAAACAGGAUUAGAAACCCGGGUAGUCC
rnacentral:rRNA from 1 species